UAAGGAAUAUUGCUCAAUGGGAGAAAUCCUGAAGCAGCAACGCCGCGUGGAGGAUGAAGGGUUUUUAACUUGUAAACUCCUGUAAAGAAGGAAAAAAUUCCCAUUAGAUGGGAAAUGAUGGUACUUCUGGAGUGAGCCCCGGCUAACUACGUGCCAGCAGCCGCGGUAAUACGUAGGGGGCAAGCGUUGUCCGGAUUUACUGGGUGUAAAGGGUGCUCAGGCGGAUUUGUAAGUCAGAGGUGAAAUCUCACAGCUUAACUGUGAAACUGCCUUUGAUACUGCAAGCCUAGAGUAUGGAAGAGAGUGAUGGAAUAUCUGGUGUAGCAGUGAAAUGCGUAGAUAUCAGAUAGAACACCAAUGGCGAAGGCAGUCACUUGGUCCAUAACUGACGCUAAAGCACGAAAGCGUGGGUAGCAAACAGGAUUAGAUACCCUGGUAGUCCACGCCCUAAACGAUGAAUACUAGAUGUUGGCUUCGCAUGAAGUCAGUAUCUGAGCUAACGCAUUAAGUAUUCCACCUGGGAAGUACGAUCGCAAGGUUGAAACUCAAAUGAAUUGACGGGGUCAUAGCUGUUUCCUG
rnacentral:rRNA from 1 species